AAUGAACGCUGGCGGCAUGCCUAACACAUGCAAGUCGAACGAGACGUUCGGGUCUAGUGGCGUACGGGUGCGUAACGCGAGGGAACCUGACCUUAGGUUCGGAAUAACUCCCCGAAAGGGGUGCCAAUACCGGACAAUGUCUUAGGACCAAAGAUUUAUCGCACUUGGUUGGGCACGAGUUGGAGUCGGUAGUGGGUAGGGUAAAAGACUAACAAGGCGACGAUCCAUAGCUGGUUUGUGAGGAUGGUCAGCAACACUUGGACUGAGACACGGCCCAGACUCCUCCGGGAUGCAGCAGUGGCUGAUGGUGCACAGCGGGCUGAGGCCUGAUCCUGCUCUGCCGCGUGAGUGAUGAAGUCCUUAAGGUUGUAAAGCGCUUUUACCCGGGAUGAUAAUGACGGUACCGGGAGAAUAAGCUCCGGCUAACUCCGUG
rnacentral:rRNA from 1 species